AUUGAACGCUGGCGGCAGGCCUAACACAUGCAAGUCGAACGGUAACAGGAAGCAGCUUGCUGCUUUGCUGACGAGUGGCGGACGGGUGAGUAAUGUCUGGGAAACUGCCUGAUGGAGGGGGAUAACUACUGGAAACGGUAGCUAAUACCGCAUAACGUCGCAAGACCAAAGAGGGGGACCUUCGGGCCUCUUGCCAUCGGAUGUGCCCAGAUGGGAUUAGCUAGUAGGUGGGGUAACGGCUCACCUAGGCGACGAUCCCUAGCUGGUCUGAGAGGAUGACCAGCCACACUGGAACUGAGACACGGUCCAGACUCCUACGGGAGGCAGCAGUGGGGAAUAUUGCACAAUGGGCGCAAGCCUGAUGCAGCCAUGCCGCGUGUAUGAAGAAGGCCUUCGGGUUGUAAAGUACUUUCAGCGGGGAGGAAGGGAGUAAAGUUAAUACCUUUGCUCAUUGACGUUAUCCGCAGAAGAAGCACCGGCUAACUCCGUG
rnacentral:rRNA from 1 species